UGCUCAUGGCCCUUGGCGAUCUGUGUCUCCCGCUCCCAAUACUCCGGCCCCUCCUGCUCCAUCCAGGGCGCCCGCGGCUCCAUCCUCGGAUUCUCCGCGUCGCCGUCGAAGCGCACGAACUGCGUGUCGUCCACGUAGCCGACAGAGAUGAACCAGGGCUCCCCGAGGCCGGGCCGGGACACGGCGGUCUCGAAAUACCGCAUCGAGUGUGGGCCGGGCCGGGACACUGCGGUGGUGAAAUACCGCAUCGAGUGUGGGCCUGGGGGCGGCUCGCGGUGAGACCCCGACCUCCUCCCGGGACCUUCGGUGGCUGCGCGGGCAGAAGCGGAGCAGGGCGUAAGUAUCAGGGCAGCGGCCAGCAGCAGGAGCAGCGUUCGCGGUGCCAUUGCCCCAUCUGGGAAUGAUGAUACAGGAGAUCUGAGGCCUUCAGGCUGCUUGGACUUUAUAACCAGCGCCCGCGGAGGAGCUGUUGGUUCCUUCCCCAGGAUCCUGCCACCCAAUGGAGACGAGACCUGCCAGAUAAUUCCUGCUACCUCAGGAGAACCUGGUAACAAUGUGAUCAGUGUGGAGACCCAGUAGCAACUCUAGGAAAGUGUCCAUGAUUUUUACACAUGAGGAGAACUGAGAAGCACCUGAAGCCUGUGCUGUUGCUUGCUGAGAAACUGACAAAGCUCUCCCUAGUCCACACCAUCAGAGAUCUGGGAAGGAUGAAUUUCUCCUGAGAAAGCGGGAAGUACAGACCAAGCAACUUCCAAAUCUAUUAAAAAUGACAGACUUAUCUGUUACCUAGACAACCACUGUGGUAUACUGAUUUUAUUGGGAACAGAGGACCCAGGGAAACAUCAGUCUCUUCUGCCCAGUCCAGAAGAUCCAAAGCAAGGCCAUCAACUCCCUAGUUGUCCACAGUUUGUCCAGGGUCCUGGUGACAGAUUAGAUGAAAGGCAGAUUUUCACCCAGGCGGUCUGGCUUUGUCACCUUUAAAGCAAGCUCAAAGUGGAGUUCUUCUCUACCCCAUCAUCAUCUGUGAAGAC
rnacentral:lncRNA from 1 species